AUUCAGCCAACACUCUCUGGAGUAGCCAUUGGAGCAGGGUGGCAAAGCUAUGUAGCAUAUGUGAACAUUGUAUGCUACUACUUAGGUAUUUGGUAUGGAAUGUUAACAGGAACUGCAGUUCAAACCAUUGUUCUCAUAGUUAUGAUCCUCAGAACUAACUGGAUCAAGGAGG